AUACAGAGGGUGCGAGCGUUAAUCGGAAUUACUGGGCGUAAAGCGCGCGUAGGCGGCUUAUUAAGUCAGAUGUGAAAUCCCCGGGCUCAACCUGGGAACUGCAUCUGAUACUGGUAAGCUAGAGUUUUGGAGAGGGAAGUAGAAUUUCAGGUGUAGCGGUGAAAUGCACAGAGAUCUGAAGGAAUACCAGUGGCGAAGGCGACUUCCUGGCCAAAAACUGACGCUGAGGUGCGAAAGCGUGGGGAGCAAACAGGAUUAGAAACCCUAGUAGUCC
rnacentral:rRNA from 1 species